GAUGAACGCUGGCGGCGUGCCUAAUACAUGCAAGUCGAGCGAACGGACGAGAAGCUUGCUUCUCUGAUGUUAGCGGCGGACGGGUGAGUAACACGUGGAUAACCUACCUAUAAGACUGGGAUAACUUCGGGAAACCGGAGCUAAUACCGGAUAAUAUUUUGAACCGCAUGGUUCAAAGGUGAAAGACGGUCUUGCUGUCACUUAUAGAUGGAUCCGCGCUGCAUUAGCUAGUUGGUAAGGUAACGGCUUACCAAGGCAACGAUGCAUAGCCGACCUGAGAGGGUGAUCGGCCACACUGGAACUGAGACACGGUCCGGACUCCUACGGGAGGCAGCAGUAGGGAAUCUUCCGCAAUGGGCGAAAGCCUGACGGAGCAACGCCGCGUGAGUGAUGAAGGUCUUCGGAUCGUAAAACUCUGUUAUUAGGGAAGAACAUAUGUGUAAGUAACUGUGCACAUCUUGACGGUACCUAAUCAGAAAGCCACGGCUAACUACGUG
rnacentral:rRNA from 1 species